rnacentral:rRNA from 1 species
CAGCAGCCGCGGUAAUACGAAGGGGGCUAGCGUUGCUCGGAAUUACUGGGCGUAAAGGGUGCGUAGGAGGUUUGACAAGUCUGAUGUGAAAUCUAUGGGCUCAACCCAUAGUCUGCAUUAGAAACUGUCGGGCUUGAGUAUGGGGGAGGUGAGUGGAAUUUCCGGUGUAGCGGUGAAAUGCGUAGAUAUCGGAAGGAACACCUGUGGCGAAGGCAGCUUCUUGGUCCAUUCCUGACGUUCAUACACGAAAGCGUGGGGAGCAAAUGGGAUUAGAUACCCGGGUAGUCCCUGUCUCUUAUAC